ACCUGACGCCCCGCGCCGUUCCUCCCGCACGACCUCGCGUCUCAGCGCCGUUCCUCCCACAGCCAGGCGCGGGUCGUAGGUCGCCGAGCCGCCGUCGGAGCCGCCCUUCGCCGCGGCCCGCAGGUCCCCCAGCCGCCGCCGGAGCCACCCUUCGCCGCGGCCCGCAGGUCGCCGAGCCGCCGCCCCUUCGCCGCCCUUCGCCGCGGCCCGUAGGUCGCCGAGCCGCCGCCCCUUCGCCGCCCUUCGCCGCCCUUCGCCGCAGGGGUUGGUGUCGCACUCACCACGGAGAAGAUCGCCAAGUACUUUGUAUACAUCCGCUGUAAACCAUCACCGUGCUGCGCCAACAAGUGCCGCUGCCGCCUGGGUUCGCUAGCCGUCGCGUGAAGUCGCCCUGGUCGCCGUCUCGACUCACCUCCAUCACCACCACGAGUCAACUUCGCGGCAGCCGCCAGGAAUCCCAUCACCGUCAAGCCAGGGUGUGAGUCCAGUGACACACAACAUUCAAUUAUGAGGAUCAAGGAAAUUAUGAUCAUUCAGUCAUUGAUGAUAUGAAAAGAGGCAUGAAGGCAACAUGUUCUAUCAAGAAGUUUCUUUGCAAAGUAGAUAAGCUUUAUUUUGAGCCUCCACCAAUUUAUUGUUGUCCUUGUGUUGCUCGGACAAAACAAAAUGCAUCAUACUAUACUGCUGCUGCUACUGAGAUUUGCCACAAUUUCUGUAUCCUGUGUUACAAUGAGACUCGCAGUUGCACGAUUCAGGUGGAAAGGUGGGUUAUGUGUGACAAAUGUGAACGCUGGAAGCAUCAGAUUUGUGCCCUUUUUAAUUUCAAAAGGGGUGAUUCUAAAGAAGCAAAAAUGUACUUGCCCUGAAGUGUUGUUCUUGGGACUAAAGAUCUGCCAAGGGCCGUGCUUAGCAAUCAUAUACAAGAACAACUCUUUAAACGGUUCAGGGAAGAGAGACACGAACAGGCCAUUCAUGAUGGGAAAAGCUUUGAUGAGGAGCAUAGGACACACUUUAGAACAAAAUUAUCUACCAUUUUAGUGGACUCGGAAUUGAAUGAUGAUAUGCUGAGAAGUAGAAACUAUGAAAGUGAUGGACACAAUGGAGCAUAGGACACACUUUAGAACAAAAUUAUUUACCAUUUUAGUGGACUCGGAACUGAAUGAUGAUACGGUGAGAAGUAGAAACUAUGAGAAGUGAUGAACACAACGGUGAACUCUUAUAUCCUGUGAUUUUGGACAACCAUCCUAGAAGAGGUCAAAAGAUCAAACUCAGACUAUAAGACGAACUCCUAAUACCAUUGUUGGUGUUUUCACCCGGCAUCAAACUGACAAACGCCGUCUUAAUAGAUGAACUUCGCUACUUAUUCUCUAUAUUAUAGACGUGCGUUGCACGUGCACGUUUACUAGUAAAUAAGAAUUUAAGAAUAAGCAUAAGUGACCAUGUUAGUCUCCUGCCACCAAGGGCACCAAUUAUUGUAGUAAUUUCAUGCUCACUCGCCCUCUAAUUAGCAGCUAAUCAAGUCACAGCUCAUCCAUAGGUCUACCAUUUUCUUUCUCCCAUGAGAGUCAGGACAGAGUAGCGUACUAGCUAGGGCGCUUGAAACACUAGUACAUAGAAUUGGUGACAACUGACAACUUGGCCAAUGAGUUACGGAAAAGUAUGCUUCUUCCCUCUUGUUCUAAAUCUUAUCUCGAAGUACAAACUGUACUUGAAACAAUUUGAAAAUGCAGUUGUCAUUUCGGGAAAGCCCCAAACUGGCCAUGGUAUGCACCAAUUUAAAAUCUCAUCCAAAGUACAGAUUCGACAUGUUAACGUGUUAGGAGCUUUUUGUCAAACAAAUAAAAAUGCACGUACACGCUGGAUUAUUCAAAUCUUGAAGCUGAGCGUACUUGCACUCAUCUUCCAUUAUUGGCCUGGACCACGUGUACGACAUGGAAAGUUUUGGAUUUCAAUUUUUCGUUCCUGUGGUAUGUUGGUGUCCUUCCAUGAUGCUUCAUCAUCUUCCAACAAGGGGGUGACGGCAACACACAGUGACUUCGGCUUGGUGGUGUUGAGCACUGUGUCUCGAGCUCCGGGCGAAGAAUCCUAGGUCUGACCUUUGAUGUUUGUGCCUGGCAAUAACGGUUUACACGUCGUGUCGGUGUUGAAGGCAUUGAGUUGGACGUACUCUCUGGGAUGGAAACCAAGAUCUGACCUGCAAUGAUUGGACCCGCAAUGGCGGUGCUUGCGCGUCUUUACUCUCUUGAAGGUAUUGUUUUCGGAAAAUCUUUCUCGUAGCUCAUGUGUUGUCAAGGACGGUGGAUGAAGUUCUUGUUGGUGUGUCGUAAGUUGUUGGCUGUGUCAGCUUUCUUUAUUUUUGUUUCUUCUUUUUGUCUUUUUUGGCCGUGUGCUCCAUGUCUCGGCUAGGUUUUCUAGGGACCGGGUGUAAUUGAUAUUGUCUUGAUGUCAA